rnacentral:tRNA from 1 species
GCGGGUGUAGUACAGCGGUUAGUAUGUAAGUUUUCCAAACUUAAGAUCGGAGUUCGAUUCUCCGCACCCGCACCA